UUGUAGAGAUGGGGGGAUCGCUUCUCGGCCUUUUGGCUAAGAUCAAGUGUAGUAGAGAUGGGGUUUCUCCAUGUUGCCCUGGCUUGUCUUGAAUUUCUGGCCUUAAGCAGUCCU
rnacentral:miRNA from 1 species